rnacentral:misc_RNA from 1 species
ACACUUCAACUCUCAUGGUUUACUGUGAUGAGCUUGGACUUUGGAGGUUUUUGCUGGUGCAUGAUCAGCUCCUCCCAAAUAAAUUAGCUUGCCAGUCAUCGGUGGCAUCACAGGUGUGAUAACUAUCUACGCUUGUGGUCGUCUGCUGGGAAACCUUCUGGCAACAGAGGUUUGCUGGAGCUCAUAAAUGUCUCUCUUCAGUGAAGACAGCUUUUUGAACGU